rnacentral:rRNA from 1 species
CCUACGGGUGGCAGCAGUAGGGAAUAUUGCUCAAUGGGGGAAACCCUGACGCAGCAACGCCGCGUGGAGGAUGAAGGUUUUCGGAUUGUAAACUCCUUUUGUUAGAGAAGAUAAUGACGGUAUCUAACGAAUAAGCACCGGCUAAAUCCGUGCCAGCAGCCGCGGUAAUACGGAGGGUGCAAGCGGUACUCGGAAUCACUGGGCGUAAAGAGCGCGGAGGCGGGAUAGCAAGUCAGAUGUGAAAACCUAUGGCCUAACCAUCGAACUGCAUUUGAAACUGUUAUUCUAGAGUAUGGGAGAGGUAGGCGGAAUUCUUGGUGUAGGGGUAAAAUCCGUAGAGAUCAAGAGGAAUACUCAUUGCGAAGGCGGCCUGCUGGAACAAAACUGACGCUGAUGCGCGAAAGCGUGGGGAGCAAACAGGAUUAGAUACCCCAGUAGUC